UACGGAGGGGGGCUAGCGUUGUUCGGAAUUAUUGGGCGUAAAGAGCUUGUAGGCGGUUUGUCGCGUCUGCUGUGAAAUUUCGGGGCUCAACCCCGAACUUGCAGUGGGUACGGGCAGACUAGAGUGUGGUAGGGGAGACUGGAAUUCCUGGUGUAGCGGUGAAAUGCGCAGAUAUCAGGAGGAACACCGAUGGCGAAGGCAGGUCUCUGGGCCAUAACUGACGCUGAGAAGCGAAAGCAUGGGGAGCGAACAGG
rnacentral:rRNA from 1 species